CACUCAAUCCAGCAGCUUCUCCUACAGAUUCUCUACGUAAGACCGGAUGUAUAUUCAACUCUUCUAACAUCAUUUCUGUUAUUUCCUCCUCAUCACUAUAAACACCUGAGCCAUUAUCACGAAGCAAACUCUGGUAAUCCCUACUAGCAGCUAUAGACUCCCCAUCAUUAUACCGAUUAAGAUUGUAUUCCGACUGUAGAUAGUCCAUGCUAAAUUGGCUUACGCUGGCAUCCGAAGAGGGCCUUAAAGUUUGAUGAUGAAAGCUUGAGACACUAGACGGAAUGCUAGUUCCUAACCCAGGGCCAUCGAAAAUACUAUCAUGGCUCAUCA